AGGGUCCCAUGGAGAGGUGUAGGUGUAGGUAGUCUCUAUAGAAGUGUGUAGGGUCCCAUGGAGAGGUGUAGGUAGUCUCUAUAGAAGUGUGUAGGGUCCCAUGGAGAGGUGUAGGUGUAGGUAGUCUCUAUAGAAGUGUGUAGAGUCCCAUGGAGAGGUGUAGGUGUAGGUAGUCUCUAUAGAAGUGUGUAGGGUCCCAUGGAGAGGUGUAGGUGUAGGUAGUCUCUAUAGAAGUGUGUAGAGUCCCAUGGAGAGGUGUAGGUGUAGGUAGUCUCUAUAGAAGUGUGUAGGGUCCCAUGGAGAGGUGUAGGUGUAGGUAGUCUCUAUAGAAGUGUGUAGGGUCCCAUGGAGAGGUGUAGGUGUAGGUAGUCUAUAUAGAAGUGUGUAGGGUCCCAUGGAGAGGUGUAGGUGUAGGUAGUCUCUAUAGAAGUGUGUAGGGUCCCAUGGAGAGGUGUAGGUGUAGGUAGUCUCUAUAGAAGUGUGUAGAGUCCCAUGGAGAGGUGUAGGUAGUCUCUAUAGAAGUGUGUAGGGUCCCAUGGAGAGGUGUAGGUGUAGGUAGUCUCUAUAGAAGUGUGUAGGGUCCCAUGGAGAGGUGUAGGUGUAGGUAGUCUCUAUAGAAGUGUGUAGGGUCCCAUGGAGAGGUGUAGGUGUAGGUAGUCUCUAUAGAAGUGUGUAGGGUCCCAUGGAGAGGUGUAGGUGUAGGUAGUCUCUAUAGAAGUGUGUAGGGUCCCAUGGAGAGGUGUAGGUGUAGGUAGUCUCUAUAGAAGUGUGUAGGGUCCCAUGGAGAGGUGUAGGUGUAGGUAGUCUCUAUAGAAGUGUGUAGGGUCCCAUGGAGAGGUGUAGGUGUAGGUAGUCUCUAUAGAAGUGUGUAGGGUCCCAUGGAGAGGUGUAGGUGUAGGUAGUCUCUAUAGAAGUGUGUAGGGUCCCAUGGAGAGGUGUAGGUGUAGGUAGUCUCUAUAGAAGUGUGUAGAGUCCCAUGGAGAGGUGUAGGUGUAGGUAGUCUCUAUAGAAGUGUGUAGGGUCCCAUGGAGAGGUGUAGGUAGUCUCUAUAGAAGUGUGUAGAGUCCCAUGGAGAGGUGUAGGUGUAGGUAGUCUCUAUAGAAGUGUGUAGGGUCCCAUGGAGAGGUGUAGGUAGUCUCUAUAGAAGUGUGUAGGGUCCCAUGGAGAGGUGUAGGUGUAGGUAGUCUCUAUAGAAGUGUGUAGAGUCCCAUGGAGAGGUGUAGGUGUAGGUAGUCUCUAUAGAAGUGUGUAGAGUCCCAUGGAGAGGUGUAGGUAGUCUCUAUAGAAGUGUGUAGGGUCCCAUGGAGAGGUGUAGGUGUAGGUAGUCUCUAUAGAAGUGUGUAGGGUCCCAUGGAGAGGUGUAGGUGUAGGUAGUCUCUAUAGAAGUGUGUAGGGUCCCAUGGAGAGGUGUAGGUAGUCUCUAUAGAAGUGUGUAGGGUCCCAUGGAGAGGUGUAGGUGUAGGUAGUCUCUAUAGAAGUGUGUAGGGUCCCAUGGAGAGGUGUAGGUGUAGGUAGUCUCUAUAGAAGUGUGUAGGGUCCCAUGGAGAGGUGUAGGUGUAGGUAGUCUCUAUAGAAGUGUGUAGGGUCCCAUGGAGAGGUGUAGGUGUAGGUAGUCUCUAUACAAGUGUGUAGGGUCCCAUGGAGAGGUGUAGGUGUAGGUAGUCUCUAUAGAAGUGUGUAGAGUCCCAUGGAGAGGUGUAGGUGUAGGUAGUCUCUAUAGAAGUGUGUAGGGUCCCCUGGAGAGGUGUAGGUGUAGGUAGUCUCUAUAGAAGUGUGUAGGGUCCCAUGGAGAGGUGUAGGUAGUCUCUAUAGAAGUGUGUAGGGUCCCAUGGAGAGGUGUAGGUGUAGGUAGUCUCUAUAGAAGUGUGUAGAGUCCCAUGGAGAGGUGUAGGUGUAGGUAGUCUCUAUAGAAGUGUGUAGGGUCCCAUGGAGAGGUGUAGGUAGUCUCUAUACAAGUGUGUAGAGUCCCAUGGAGAGGUGUAGGUAGUCUCUAUAGAAGUGUGUAGAGUCCCAUGGAGAGGUGUAGGUAGUCUCUAUAGAAGUGUGUAGAGUCCCAUGGAGAGGUGUAGGUGUAGGUAGUCUCUAUAGAAGUGUGUAGAGUCCCAUGGAGAGGUGUAGGUGUAGGUAGUCUCUAUAGAAGUGUGUAGGGUCCCAUGGAGAGGUGUAGGUGUAGGUAGUCUCUAUAGAAGUGUGUAGAGUCCCAUGGAGAGGUGUAGGUGUAGGUAGUCUCUAUAGAAGUGUGUAGAGUCCCAUGGAGAGGUGUAGGUGUAGGUAGUCUCUAUAGAAGUGUGUAGGGUCCCAUGGAGAGGUGUAGGUGUAGGUAGUCUCUAUAGAAGUGUGUAGGGUCCCAUGGAGAGGUGUAGGUGUAGGUAGUCUCUAUAGAAGUGUGUAGAGUCCCAUGGAGAGGUGUAGGUGUAGGUAGUCUCUAUAGAAGUGUGUAGGGUCCCAUGGAGAGGUGUAGGUGUAGGUAGUCUCUAUAGAAGUGUGUAGGGUCCCAUGGAGAGGUGUAGGUGUAGGUAGUCUCUAUAGAAGUGUGUAGGGUCCCAUGGAGAGGUGUAGGUGUAGGUAGUCUCUAUAGAAGUGUGUAGGGUCCCAUGGAGAGGUGUAGGUGUAGGUAGUCUCUAUAGAAGUGUGUAGGGUCCCAUGGAGAGGUGUAGGUGUAGGUAGUCUCUAUAGAAGUGUGUAGGGUCCCAUGGAGAGGUGUAGGUGUAGGUAGUCUCUAUAGAAGUGUGUAGGGUCCCAUGGAGAGGUGUAGGUGUAGGUAGUCUCUAUAGAAGUGUGUAGAGUCCCAUGGAGAGGUGUAGGUGUAGGUAGUCUCUAUAGAAGUGUGUAGGGUCCCAUGGAGAGGUGUAGGUAGUCUCUAUAGAAGUGUGUAGGGUCCCAUGGAGAGGUGUAGGUGUAGGUAGUCUCUAUAGAAGUGUGUAGAGUCCCAUGGAGAGGUGUAGGUGUAGGUAGUCUCUAUAGAAGUGUGUAGAGUCCCAUGGAGAGGUGUAGGUGUAGGUAGUCUCUAUAGAAGUGUGUAGAGUCCCAUGGAGAGGUGUAGGUGUAGGUAGUCUCUAUAGAAGUGUGUAGGGUCCCAUGGAGAGGUGUAGGUGUAGGUAGUCUCUAUAGAAGUGUGUAGGGUCCCAUGGAGAGGUGUAGGUAGUCUCUAUAGAAGUGUGUAGGGUCCCAUGGAGAGGUGUAGGUGUAGGUAGUCUCUAUAGAAGUGUGUAGGGUCCCAUGGAGAGGUGUAGGUAGUCUCUAUAGAAGUGUGUAGGGUCCCCUGGAGAGGUGAUUUCUCAGCUUCACUCCUUGGUUACAGUCUCUAUACCAGUCAGCCACAUCCCCAUUGCCUCAAUGUUAAUGAUA